CUUUGCUGACGAGUGGCGGACGGGUGAGUAAUGUCUGGGAAACUGCCUGAUGGAGGGGGAUAACUACUGGAAACGGUAGCUAAUACCGCAUAACGUCGCAAGACCAAAGAGGGGGACCUUCGGGCCUCUUGCCAUCGGAUGUGCCCAGAUGGGAUUAGCUAGUAGGUGGGGUAACGGCUCACCUAGGCGACGAUCCCUAGCUGGUCUGAGAGGAUGACCAGCCACA
rnacentral:rRNA from 1 species